AGGUUCUUCUGUGAUAUGUUUUCAUGGUGUGGGAAUAAGACUUGGUGGUCUAAUACAGCUAAUACGAAGGUUAGCAUCACAGCUUGUCUGUAAAGAUUGAAGCUGGGAGUGGGCAUUGGAGCUGACUUUUAUGGUAACUGUGGCUGCAUAAAAGGGCUAUGUGAUUUUACUGUAACAGUAAAGAAUGUAAUUCAGACUAUUUUUGUGUAUGUUUGAGAAAAUGUUUAUAAUUUUUACAAAAAGAAAAAAAAAAUUAUGUACUGGUUCUCCAUUUUCAACAAGAUUGGAAGUUGUAGGUUAAUAGGUCUUUGCAAUUUCAAAAAUUACUUUCUAUUUUCUGUUCAUACUCAUGUCUAGGCAAAACACUUCCAGUAGUUUAAGAAUGGAGAAUCUAAAAAAAAGAAAAGAAAAAAAAAAAAAAAAAGAAAAAGAAAAAAAUGUUCAAUUAUUGAAAUGUUUUUUAUUUUUGCAAAUUGUAAUAUAUUUUUUCACCUUUGUGUCAUUUUUAGCUGAGUUUAUAACAAAGGGUAUAUUAUUUUAAGAAUAUUUUACAAGAAGCAUAGUUGAAGAAUAUCUUGAUGAAAGUAGAUUGAUUGAUUUUUGGUAUUUAACACCACUUUCAGCAUGAUUUGCUAUAUCUUGACUGCCAGUUUUUAUUUGUGGAGACAGCCUGGUGAAAACAUCCCCUUCAACAGAGAAACUGGCAACUAUUGACGUUAAACACACCUACAAUGUAAGUGUUCAGAGUG